rnacentral:rRNA from 1 species
GACGAACGCUGGCGGCGUGCUUAACACAUGCAAGUCGAACGGAAAGGCCCUGCUCUUGUGGGGUGCUCGAGUGGCGCACGGGUGAGUAACACGUGAGUAACCUGCCCUUGACUUUGGGAUAACUUCAGUAAACUGGGGCUAAUACCGGAUAGGAGCUCCUGCUGCAUGGUGGGGGUUGUAAAGUUUCGGCGGUUGGGGAUGGACUCGCGGCUUAUCAGCUUGUUGGUGGGGUAGUGGCUUACCAAGGCGUUGACGGGUAGCCGGCCUGAGAGGGUGACCGGCCACAGUGGGACUGAGAUAGGGCCCAGAGGCCUACGGGGGGCAGCAGUGGGGAAUAGUGCGCGAUGGGCGGAAGCCUGAUGCAGCAACGCCGCGUGCGGGAGGACGGCCUUCGGGUUGUAAACCGCUUUCGCCUGGGACGAAGCGUGAGUGACGGUAAUGGGUAAAGAAGCACCGGCUAACUACGUG